AUUGAACGCUGGCGGCAUGCUUUACACAUGCAAGUCGAACGGCAGCGCGGGCUUCGGCCUGGCGGCGAGUGGCGAACGGGUGAGUAAUGCAUCGGAACGUGCCCAGUAGUGGGGGAUAGCCCAGCGAAAGCCGGAUUAAUACCGCACACGACCUGAGGGUGAAAGCGGGGGACCGAAAGGCCUCGCGCUAUUGGAGCGGCCGAUGUCGGAUUAGCUAGUUGGUGGGGUAAAGGCUUACCAAGGCGACGAUCCGUAGCUGGUCUGAGAGGACGACCAGCCACACUGGGACUGAGACACGGCCCAGACUCCUACGGGAGGCAGCAGUGGGGAAUUUUGGACAAUGGGGGCAACCCUGAUCCAGCCAUGCCGCGUGCGGGAAGAAGGCCUUCGGGUUGUAAACCGCUUUUGUUCGGGAAGAAAUCCUCUGGGCUAAUACCCCGGGGGGAUGACGGUACCGGAAGAAUAAGCACCGGCUAACUACGUG
rnacentral:rRNA from 1 species